rnacentral:rRNA from 1 species
AUUGAACGCUGGCGGCAGGCCUAACACAUGCAAGUCGAACGAGUGGCGGACGGGUGAGUAAUGUAGGGGAAACUGCCUGAUGGAGGGGGCUAACUACUGGAAACGGUAGCUAAUACCGCAUAACAUCAGAUGUGCCCAGAUGGGAGUAGCUUGUUGGUGGGGUAACGGCUCACCAAGGCGACAAUCCCUAGCUGGUCUGAGAGGAUGACCAGCCACACUGGACCUGAGCCACGGUCCAGACGCCUACGGGAGGCAGCAGUGGGGAAUAUUGCACAAUGGGCGAAAGCCUGCUGCAGCCAUGCCGCGUGUAUGAAGAAGGCCUUCGGGUUGUAAAGCACUUUCAGCGGGGAGGCGUUACCCGCAGAAGAAGCACCGGCUAACUCCGUGCCAGCAGCCGCGGUAAUUC